AUGGCCCCCUCCAAAAGGCAUCUUCCCCUCACAGCCUUCACACCAAACAAGAAGCAUCAGGAAUCGAAGUUUGAUGAAAUGGCAAAGGGGGAUAAAGUACGCUAUGAUCGGGAAAUGAAAGAUUAUGGACCAGCUAAAGGAGGCAAGAAGAAGAAGGACCCGAUGCCCCCAAAAGACCACCGUCUGGAUUUUUCUUAUUCUGCUCUGAAUUCCGCCCCAAGAUCAAAUCUACAAAUCCUGGCAUCUCCAUUGGAGAUGUGGCAAAAAAGCUUGGUGAGAUGUGGAAUAACCUAAGUGACAGUGAAAAGCAGCCUUACAUUACCAAGGCUGCAGAACUGAAGGAGAAGUAUGAGAAGGAUGUUGCUGACUAUAAGUCUAAAGGGAAAUUCGAUGGUGCCAAGGGUCCUGCUAAAGUUGCCCGGAAAAAGGUGGAAGAGGAAGAGGAGGAGGAGGAGGAGGAAGAUGAAUAAAACCUCUUGUCUCCUUGUGAAUACCUUAGAGUAGGAGAGCGCCAUGAUUGACACAUCUCUUAUUAGAGUUGUGUCUAUUGCCCUUGUUAGGUUUAAUUACAAGAUUUGAUCACGAUCAUAUUGUAGUUUCUCAAAGUGUCAGUGGUUUACAUGAAGUGGCCAUGGGUGUCCGGAGCGCCCUGAAACUGUAUCAAAGUUGUACAUAGCUCCAAACAUUUUUAAAAUGAAAAGGCACUCUCGUGUUCUCCUCACUCUGUGCACUUUGCUGUUGGUGUGACAAGGCAUUUGAAGAUGUUUCUGGCAUUUUGUUUUCAACUCGUAAGGUAGUGUUAACUAUAUGGUUGGUUAUUGGCUAGAAACCCUGAGUUGUCAGGUGUACAUAUCUAUAGUUUGUAAAGAGAACA